rnacentral:lncRNA from 1 species
UCAUAAAGAUAACGGGGAGGUUGAAAAAACGGCCGGAAGUACUUCGAUGAUAGUAAUACUAGAGUCUGGGUAUCACAUUGGUACGAUUAAGAGUUGGGGUAUCACAUUGGUCGGUGCACCAGAGUUGAGGGACUGUUGGUGAAAAAAACUCUAUUUCUAAUGAAAACUGUAGAUAUAGAGAGAUUUAACGGAGAGUUAACGGUGUUAGUUUACUUUAACCUGCUAUAGCAAGUUAAAACUUGUUAGGUAUUUAUACCUUAAGGCACACAAGUGAAACCCUUAAACUCAAGAUAUUUUUAUUUCCGACUUUCUCUAUAUUACUUAUGGGAAUUUCGCUAACGUCCCUUAAAAUAUCUUUGUCAUUCAGUCUCUUCGGUAGUAUAUAUAGGGUGUGUAUAUAGCUGGAUGUGUGUUCAGUAGUGCUAGAGUGAAAAUGUCGAAUUGCUUAGCUAAUGACUCUAUCGGACAACUAUAUAAGGGGAUCAAUAUAUGUAAUUAGGCUCGUCUUCAAUCUAAGUUGAGACAUCCAUCCAAUCUCAAACUUUGUCCGAUUUUAUAUCAUGUAUUUCUAUCAAACUUCAAUCGAGUUUGACACACCAAAGUGACCAAACCUACAUAUCGAUAUCCUCCUCGUUUUAGUCCCUUGACGAGUUGAUGGUACGGUGAACAUACAUAACGUUUCACGAUAGGUCUCACGUUGCAUCGUUACAAGUAACAAAAUUCUGUACACUAGCUACUACCGAAAUCGAUUGAAGAAAAAAGAUGAAGAAUUGUGUCAUGUGUGAUGGUAUUUGGUCUUCUAGUCCCUAGUUGAUCCUUAACGACUCAUUCCUCCUUGUCGGACAGACGUACACUCCGUGCUAUCUGGGCCACAAUUAAAGACCCAUGACAUCAUGCCUUACCUCAGCAUUCCAAAUCCCUCCACCUCCAAGAUCCUCAAAUUCCUUUCAAUCAAAAUAAAAUAAAAAAUCCUCAAAAUUCCCUACGUGGGUUUCUCCUCACCUGACGUGGAUUUCAAAUUACCCCAGAAUUCUCUAUUGAAUAAUCAAAUCAAUACCCACGUUUUCUUCUGUAGAUAGACAAAUAAAAAUCCCACCGGAUUUUUAAACACCCUAACUUCACCGUCCAUGCAACUCGACAGUGAGCCUUCCUUUUACUUUGACCUUUGAAAAUUUUGACCUUCUCGCCCAACUGUCCACAGCACCACCGGUACGUACCCCCUCUGACUUUCCCCUAUCUUCAACCUAUAUAACCCUCUUCUUCUCCUCCUUUUCUC